UACAGAGGGGGCAAGCGUUAUUCGGAAUUAUUGGGCGUAAAGGGCGCGUAGGCGGCCUGGCAAGUGGAAGGUGAAAUCCCUCGGCUUAACCGAGGAACUGCCCUCCAAACUGCUUGGCUUGAGACCGGGAGAGGUGAGUGGAAUUCCCAGUGUAGCGGUGAAAUGCGUAGAUAUUGGGAGGAACACCAGUGGCGAAGGCGGCUCGCUGGACCGGUACUGACGCUGAGGCGCGAAAGCGUGGGGAGCAAACGGG
rnacentral:rRNA from 1 species